rnacentral:lncRNA from 1 species
ACAGGAAAACUUGAGAUGAAGAAAUGGCUUUGAGUGGGGUUUCAGCAGAGAAAUAGUGGCUACUCCUAUUCAAAAAUGGAAAGCAAGAGCAUAGAUAAUGAGAAUGCUCCUCAUAGCCUGCCUGCUCCUCAGAAGUCAGAUACUGAACAUUUUGUUAUGUUAACUAAAACAGAACAAGAGAUGAACAAAAUGAAACUCCUCUUGUCGACUUGUGGACAGGUAGAACAUCUCAGUGGCCAUUUAAGCUACUUAGUCAAAUGACUCACUUUCUACCCUUUUCUCUAAGUUGGUGACUCUCAUCUUUCUAUUUUCAUUCCUGCCCAAAGGUUGAAUCAUUUUGUACAACUCUCUGCAGCACAUUGUUACUUGUAUGUCCUAGUGUCACAUGGAGCUCAAUAAACUUAGAAUUAAACUC